ACUCAAAGGAAUAGACGGGGGCCCGCACAAGCGGAGGAGCAUGUGGUUUAAUUCGAUGAUACGCGAGGAACCUUACCCGGGCUUGAAUUGCAGCGGAAUAAUCAGGAAACUGGUUAGCCUUCGGGCCGCUGUGAAGGUGCUGCAUGGUUGUCGUCAGCUCGUGCCGUGAGGUGUUAGGUUAAGUCCUGCAACGAGCGCAACCCUUACACUUAGUUGCCAGCAUGUAACGAUGGGGACUCUAAGUGAACUGCCUACGCAAGUAGAGAGGAAGGUGGGGAUGACGUCAAAUCAGCACGGCCCUUAUGUUCGGGGCUACACACGUGCUACAAUGGUCGGUACAGAGGGCAGCUACCCCGCGAGGGGAUGCCAAUCUCAAAAGCCGAUCUCAGUUCGGAUCGGAGUCUGUAACUCGACUCCGUGAAGUUGGAUUCGCUAGUAAUCGCGCAUCAGCCAUGACGCGGUGAAUACGUUCCCGGGCCUUGUACACACCGCCCGU
rnacentral:rRNA from 1 species